GCCUCGGUAGCUCAGUUGGUAGAGCAGAGGACUGAAAAUCCUCGUGUCGGCGGUUCAAUUCCGCCCUGAGGCA
rfam:Clostridiales bacterium PH28_bin88 ph28_440, whole genome shotgun sequence.